CUUCCACAUCCAAUGAAUCAAGAUUCCUAAGUGUCUCUUGAAUUUAUACCUCUUUCCAUCUCCACCUGGGAGCUCAAGGCAGCAUAUUUAAAUAGUCUCCCUACCGACUGACUUAACUUUACCUCCUUCUCUCGCUGUCUGUCUUCUUCUCCUUGAAGGCCUACUAAUUUGCUGUGAAGUCAAACCUGAUCACGUUUGUUCCCUCCUCGUCUCCUGGUUAGAAUCCUUCAGUGGAUUUUAUGGCUGUAUGAUGUGGGACGGCUACAGUCAUCUGAGAUACAAAGCUAACCAUGUCAGUCUUCUGAUUAAAAUCCUCUGUUGGCUCUCCAUCAACUGUAAUUUAAGGUCCAAGAUAAAGCUUUCGUUCUGGGGCUGGACUUACCUUCCUCCCAUAAAUAAUGAUAAAACCGGACAAUAUAUAUGCUGUAACAAUUUUUGGACAUUGGUCAAAUAGUUGGCACAAUAAUGAAAGAAGGGAAACCAGAUGAGCCUACGGUUAUUCUGUCUUCAAACGCUUUCCGGACUACAGUGUAGAGAGGGGGUCUUGAACAGAGCACAGUGGUAUUACUGAGCUGAGUAGACAGAACUGUUGUCCAGGAACCUUGAGGCAUCUGGAAUUUAUGGAGCAAAAUAGCAGGAAGAUAGAGGCUGCAUGGAGAAAAGAAUGUCAGAAAUUUGUUUAGGGGCUUGAAUUUGUUGCUAAAUACUAAGUUGUACAUGUGUAUGACGAAACUGCUUGAGGUCAGGCAAAGAAGAGCCAUGAAGCUGUAAGCUGAAAAGUUUCCAGAAUUCACACAUGGUUGGGAAACAUUUGAGUUUUAGUUCGAAUGAGGAGUCCUCCUUAAACACCUGGACCUUCCGAGAAACUUCGAAAGGGUCAUGCCUUGGUGGUGCCGCUGAACCGUUGGUGUUUCUCAACUGGCAUUCUGUGGAAAAAAAGUUUGAAUAACUCUUUUCUUGUUUCUUUCAGGGUUGAUAUAAUACCAUUCUAAAUACAUUAGAUAUAAAUUAAUUCAUUAUGUUCAAUAUUGCCUUAGGCACUAGGGUUUAAUUUUCUUGCAGAAACCUAACUGAGAAGGAGUAUUUUAUAUCCACUCUGCAGAGUUUAAAAAAAAAUUUCAAAAGUAUCGUGUAAGUUAACUGCCUGUCAGAUCAAAAGCUAAUCUCCAAAAAUGGGAAAACACACACAAUAUCUAUCAAUAAAUAAAAAAUUACCAGACUUAUGAAGAAGGAAAUUGUGAGCAUAGCUAGGAGAAAAAUCAGGCUAUAAAAACAUGCACAAAAGGAUGAAUAUUAUAACAUUAGCAAAUGAUAUCAUAUUAUAAAUACACUCAGAGAUUUAAAACAAAAUGUGAACAAAAUAUUGGCUAUAUUCCCAGUGCUGUGCAUUACCUGCUCUUAUUUUAUCUAUGUUAUGCGUAUUAGUUUGUUCUCCUUACUCUCCUUCUCCGAUCUUGCCCCACCCCUCCUCCUCUGCCCAGUGGUGACCACUAGUCUGUUCUCUGUGUCUGUUUCUGUUUUGUUACAUUCAUUCGUUUUAUUCUUUAGAUUCUACAAGUGAAAAUAUGCACUAUUUGUCUCUCUCUGCCUGACAUUUAUAAAAACUCUGAUAACUCUGUUGCACACCUAAUGCCAAUGUAAUAUUGUAAAUUAACUCUGCUGAGUCUCUCAGUCAUGUCCAGCUCUUUGUGACCUCAUGGACUGUAGCCUGCCAGGUUGCUCUGUCCAUGAGAUUCUCCAGGCAGGAAGUGGGCAGCCAUUCCCUCCUCCAGGGAUCUUCCCCACCCAGGGAGUGAACCUGGGCCUCCUGCACUGCAGGCGGGUUCUCUACCAUCUGAGCCACUAGGCAAGCCCAAGUCAACUAUGCUUCAAUACAAAAAAGGCUUAAAAAGCGGAAAAAAGGAAAUGAGCAUAAAGAGAAGUAAAGGAUACAAAGUGAGGUGGAAGUUUUAGAGAUAAAAAUAAAAUCAGAAAACUAUCCCCUGGAUUGACUUUAUAGCAGGUGAGACACUGCAGAAGGGGUCAGUGAGCCUGAGUAUAUGGAUGUAGAGAGCACAGACAGCGAGGCCUGGGGAGAGGAAACUGAAACGUGUGUGAUCUCAGUGACUGUGGGGGUAUUACCAAGCGGUCUAGCAAACCUGUAACUGGAGUCCCGGGAGAAGGGAAGAGCAAAGUAAAAAGUAUUUAAAAUCCAAGGCAGUUCACAUGUCUUACCAGGCAUUUAAUGAUCUGACUUUUGCCUGUCUUCAAGUUUCAAAUCUAAACCAAUUCCUGACACUGGUUUUUCUCUUCAGGUCACUGAGUUACUCACAGUUUAUCUCACAAAGCAUGCUUUUUCUUGUCUCCAUAUCUUUGUUCAUUCUGGUGUCUCUGCCUACAAUCCUCUUAACUCAUACUCCUGAGCAAUCUAACUCAUUCUUCUAUUUGAAGUCUCAACCCAUGAGUCAUGUCCAAGAAGCCUUCUUGUCACUAUCCCUUCAUUACCCAACCAGAGAUAGCUGUACUCUUUGGUGCUUCUGAUAUACCUUUGCCUAUAUUUACUGCAUUAUGUUACAGAGAUCUGUUUUUUGUGUUUAUUCUACUAGCCGGAGUAUAUCUAAUUCGUGUUUCUAUCUCCAGCACUUAGGAGAAGGAUUGACACGGAUCAGCUAAAGAAUGAAUGAGCAAUGAGUUCAUUGACCUAACUUUUGGUCCUGAAUUCGAUAUUUUCAUAUCCAUGUUAAAAAGAAUAAGAAUCUCAAUCCCUUUAAGUUUCAUUUAGUAUGGCUUACCUUUUUAUUUGAAAAUUAAAAAAAUAUCAUUAAUGGGUCUGAGUUUGAAGUCUUGAAGUUUGAUUAUAAUAUUUUACUAACGUAUUAUAUAUAUAUGUGCACAUACAUUUUUAUAUAUAUAUACAUAAUGUUUAUUUUUUCACUUCUUAAUAAAGCUUCGAUUAAUAAGUCUACAAUCAAGAUGAGGAAUUAUGGAAUUUAUAAUUUAAUACUUUCAAAUUUUAAUAUGUCCAAAAAGCUUUUGUGAAGCUUGUUAAAAUGCAAUUUAUCUUGCCUCCUUUUCAGAGAUUCUGAUCCAGUAAAUCUGAAAUAAAGAGAACUCCCCAGGAGAUUCUGUUUUAAGUGAUAGAUGAUUUCUGGAGAGAAACAGACAUUUAUGUUCCAUGGCUAGAGAAAUGCAGUUUAACAGUGGAUCCUACAUUUGUAUUUUGACU
ensembl:lncRNA